rnacentral:rRNA from 1 species
GACGAACGCUGGCGGCGUGCUUAACACAUGCAAGUCGAACGGAAAGGCCCUGCUUUUGUGGGGUGCUCGAGUGGCGAACGGGUGAGUAACACGUGAGUAACCUGCCCUUGACUUUGGGAUAACUUCAGGAAACUGGGGCUAAUAUCGGAUAGGAGCUCCUGCUGCAUGGUGGGGGUUGGAAAGUUUCGGCGGUUGGGGAUGGACUCGCGGCUUAUCAGCUUGUUGGUGAGGUAGUGGCUUACCAAGGCUUUGACGGGUAGCCGGCCUGAGAGGGUUACCGGCCACAUUGGGACUGAGAUACGGCCCAGACGCCUACGGGAGGCAGCAGUGGGGAAUAUUGCACAAUGGGCGGAAGCCUGAUGCAGCAACGCCGCGUGCGGGAUGACGGCCUUCGGGUUGUAAACCGCUUUCGCCGGUGACGAAGCGUGAGUGACGGUAAUGGGUAAGGAAGCACCGGCUAACUACGUG